AACGUUUGCACAGAGGCCACGCAAAGCAAGCGCAGGAAGUACUCUGAUGGAUGUACUUGAGGAUCAACAGUUUUUUAUACAGGAGCGCAAGGAGAUGCUUUGGGAUCGUGCGGAAGUCUGGCAAGAACAAAGAAGGGCAACAGUGCAGGAUGUCCAUGAAGAAGCUUCAGAGGAGAAGACAGAGUAGAUGUACAGCGGACAGGACGUUGACGUUCACCGGAACGAAUCUCUUUCGCUCUGAAAAAAGUGGCGGUGAUUCUCCAGUUGUGCACAUAAGGGGAGGAGAGAAGGAGAGAUGGAGUCCGACGACUUGCAAAGCGACGUACUGUGCCAGCGCACCCCGGGGGGGGGAGCAGAAGAGCAGAGCACUAGGUUGAGAAGGUGGCAGGCACUUCAGGUUUGGAAGUGCAUCACUUUUAGUGGAAGGGAGUGCCCACUGGAUGAGGGGGUGGAAACGUAUCUCGGAUACUGUCUUGUAGAUCUUACGGGGGAGCUGGACCAGAGUUGUCGGGAUGGAUAACUUGACGAAUGCAGAUACCCCCAAUGGGCUGGAGGGGGAGAUUGGGGACGUCCAGCCCAUAUGAGGCCCCCAAUUGUGAAAGCCCAAGCCCAUGGAAGGCCAAGCCCAGGCCCAACUCAAGCAUUCCAAUCCUCCCUUCUAGAUUGCAGCCUCCCUUCAUUGAUUUUUCAAAAAAAACAAUCAGAGACUUGUCUCUGAAUUAGCUGAGGAAGAAAAGAGAGGCAGAGGAGGAAGAAACAGAAUGGCAGAGAGAGAAGAAAGUGCUGAAGAUUGUCAAAGAUGGAGCCAUGUGAGCUCAGCCAUGAGAUCAUCGUCUCUUCUGGGUGGCCAUAAAUACAGAGAGGUGCAAGAAGAAGAGCAGUGUGCAGAGAAAGGUAAGAGGGUUGGGGCUCUGUUGGUGGGCCACACAGCAGAAUGCUGUGUGGCGAGAGGGCUGGGGGAGGCUAGUGUGCUGGUGAGGCACCGAGAGCACAGAGAGAUCUGGGUAGGAGAGUGGGCUAGAAUUGGUUAGCUGGAGAUUCUGAGAGAGACAGUGAGAUGGGGAGAGUGAGAGAGUGCUGGAGGAGAGGUGAGUGGAGUUGAGCUCCUCCACUAUUUAACUCAUUGUAAUUCAUUUCUGUGAUACGUGAUUAUUUGUUCCUCUCCGUGGAUGUAGGCAUUGUUGGCCGAAACCACGUAUUAUCUGUGUAUCAUGUGUGUGGUGAUGUUGGUAGUAGAGUGACUAGACGUGACUGGUAACUCGUUUUGGGAACAACAAGGUUGACAUUUAAAAUAUUUGGAUCCUUUGGAGAUAUUCAAGGGAUGCCACUUCUUAUUCUAACAUGUUAAUUUGAGAGAGAGAGAGAGAGAGAGAUGGUGGUUAAGACGUAGGUAAGAAAAUGAUGCUUAGUACAUUAUGAUCCACACACACACACACACACACACACACAUCCAAGUCAUGAGACAUAUUGCUCUCUUGAUAUAAAAAAUGACAUCCUUGUCAAAACUUGUGAUUAGUUGAUUUUAUAAUAUAAAGUAUUUAUGUAUUAUGCUAGAAUUCCAAUUACAAGUUCCAGGGAUUAAAGCAGAUUUGUAAGGCAUGAGCCGCCUCCAUUAAUUUUGAUUUGAACCCUACCACUUAGACUCAAAAUUUUGACUCACGAGGGCUAAAUUAAAAGAAAUAUUUUUUCGCCAAUAGUUAGAACUUUAAUUCAUGUAGUUUCUACUUCAUAGACGGCAAUAAUACAUAUUCUUCCGCAACGAAUGAAUUCCUCUUUUAAGUCCUUCCAUGCAUAUUUCAAGAAUGAGAUUUUCAAGUCAUAAGUAAUGCUUAGCGCCAAUGAAUUGAAUUACGAUUCGUUAAAAUUGACGAUCUCAAUUUUACUGUAAGUUGAGAAUGCUUUGGCUAAAUGCGUGAAUAGUUUGACGAUUCAAGACGUUCAUCUUUGAAAUGUCGUUGUAAUAAAGAUGUGGCAAAAAUUAGAACGAUUAAGUAUUAGUAAACUUAGUUUUAAAAUGCAAAACGAUACAUGUUCCAUUAUAAAAUAAAAUAUACCUUCAAAACAAAUGUAUCUAUAGUUCAUAAACUCUAAUCAUUCUAAUUUUUGCAACAUAACUUUAUUACAACGACAUCUGAAAGAUUAAUGGCUUGGAUUAUCAAAUUAUAUACAUAUUUAGCUAAAAAAUAGUCAACUUCAUGAUAAAAUCGGGAUCGUCAACUUUAGCCAAUUCGAAUUCAAAAGAAUUAGGAUAAAUUACACCAUAGUGCAAAGUUCCAUCAAAACUUUGGCAAAAGGAAAAAAAACUAAAAAUGAAAGAAAUAGAUAGAGCAAAAGUAUUAAGAAAAAUUACACUUUACAGCUUAUACUUUUACUAAGAUCUCACUUUACAGUCUUUAUUUUUAGUAGUAUCCGUUACCCCCUUAUACUUUAGUUCAAGUGUAAAUAUAACUCUUUCGUCCGCCUCCUAUUCAAUUAAAUGUCAACUGGCCUCUUUCCAUGA
rnacentral:lncRNA from 1 species